rnacentral:sRNA from 1 species
AGGUCUUGAACUCCUGACCUCGUGAUCCGCCUGCCUCGGCCUCCCAAAGUGCUGGGAUUACAGGUGUGAGCCACCGCACCUGGCCACAAGAGAGUACUUGUACUUGGCUGUACAACGUGUGUGCUUCACCCUGAAUUAUGAAGAGUUCCCUAAUCAAUGAGAUGAAGUCUUGCUAUGUUGCCCAGGCUGGUCGCAAACUCUUAUUGUGACAGUUCUCUAUCUCUCUGUGAACAAGGCCAAGGAAGAUUUACCAAACCCAUCCAAAGCUGCCCCGCCCCCACUUCCAGCUCUUGGAGGUCUCCCAUCUGGAGCUGGGGGCUCCAGCCUGCUUUGAAGUCUUCCGGGAUCACCUUUCAGAGGAGAAGAAUUUUAAAGAAUCCUGUCUGUUCGACAGGGAUUUAAGAGAGCAGUUAACUACUAUAGAUAAAGAAACACUUCAAGGAGCAGCUAAACCAGAUGCUCACUUUAGGACUAUGCC